CUGCGCGCUCGCCGGCUACGGCCCGCGCCUCGCCGCCAUCAGCUGAGCCGGGAGCCUCUAAGGUCGCGAGCGCAUCACAAAGAGUCUGAUCCGUAGUGUAAAUACUCAGCGCGUUGUGCGGUAGCGAAGUAUUAUUUGACCAAACGUUGGUACGACGCCGUGCCUCCGUAAGUGUGUAUCCGUUGUGAAGCUCAAAUGUUGGCCCAUACUGGCCCACGUUGGCGGCCAAUGUUUGAUGGAAAUUAAUUAUGAUAUGAAACAACUUAUGUUAAUGUAUUUGAAAAUUUUAUGACUAAAUUUGCGGAUGAAUGUCAUAUUUGUUAGGUAUGUUGAAAAAAUUACAAUUAAAGAUAAAUUUAACGUAAUCCAUGAGAAUAUUUUAAAAUGUCAUGUUAACUUUUACUUCUCAAUGUCCAAUUGGACUUGAAUUAUUUAUGGUGACGAAUUUGUCGUUACAUAAUAU